CCUACGGGUGGCAGCAGUGAGGAAUAUUGGUCAAUGGCCGGAAGGCUGAACCAGCCAUGUCGCGUGAAGGUUAGUGCCCCAUGGGCGUUAAACCUCUUUUGUGCGGGAGCAAUAAUGGUCACGUGUGGCCAGACGAGAGUACCGUACGAAUAAGCAUCGGCUAACGACGUGCCAGCAGCCGCGGUAAUACGGGGGAUGCAAGCGUUUUCCGGAGUUUUUGGGUUUAAAGGGGGUGUAGGGUGGGAGGUAAGUCAGCGGUGAAAUGCCCCCGCUCAAAGGGGUGAAGUGCCAUUGAUACUGGCUUGCUGGAGUGCGGAUGCGGUAGGAGGAAUGUGUGGUGUAGCGGUGAAAUGCAUAGAUAUCACACAGAACACCGAUUGCGAAGGCAUCUCACGAAUCCGCGAUUGACGCUGAUGCACGAAAGCGUGGGUAUCAAACAGGAUUAGAUACCCCAGUAGUC
rnacentral:rRNA from 1 species